rnacentral:rRNA from 1 species
UAAGACGUAGGGGCCGAGCGUUGUCCGGAGUUACUGGGCGUAAAGCGCGCGCAGGCGGUUACACACAUCGGCGGUGAAAGCCCCCCGCUCAACGGGGGAGGGUCCGUCGAGAUGGUGUGACUGGAGGCAGGGAGAGGCGAGUGGAAUUCCGGGUGUAGUGGUGAAAUGCGUAGAGAUCCGGAGGAACACCAGUGGCGAAGGCGGCUCGCUGGACCUGUCCUGACGCUGAGGCGCGAAGGCGUGGGGAGCGAACGGGAUUAGAUACCCCGGUAGUCCACGCAGUAAACGAUGGACACUAGGUGUGGCGGGAGUUGACCCCUGCCGUGCCGGCGUUAACACAGUAAGUGUCCCGCCUGGGGAGUACGGCCGCAAGGCUA